ACGAACGCUGGCGGCAUGCCUAACACAUGCAAGUCGAACGAGACCUUCGGGUCUAGUGGCGCACGGGUGCGUAACGCGUGGGAAUCUGCCCUUGGGUUCGGAAUAACAGUUAGAAAUGACUGCUAAUACCGGAUGAUGUCUUCGGACCAAAGAUUUAUCGCCUGAAGAGGGGCCCGCGUCCGAUUAGGUAGUUGGUGAGGUAAUGGCUCACCAAGCCGACGAUCGGUAGCUGGUCUGAGAGGAUGAUCAGCCACACUGGGACUGAGAUACGGCCCAGACUCCUACGGGAGGCAGCAGUGGGGAAUAUUGGACAAUGGGGGCAACCCUGAUCCAGCAAUGCCGCGUGAGUGAUGAAGGCCUUAGGGUUGUAAAGCUCUUUUGCCAGGGAAGAUGAUGACUGUACCUGGAGAAUAAGCCCCGGCUAACUUCGU
rnacentral:rRNA from 1 species